CAAGUUUGAGCCUGAUUAGCAUUUUGGUGUUUGGAAGUUACACUGGAGAAAUUCAGCAGCAGAAACAUUAUCAGAGGUAGCUGAAACUGUGACAAGGUCCAGCAGAAAUGGACACAACAUACCACAAGUUGUAGGAAAUAUACAAGAUCCUGUAAUGUUUUAUGAAUGGAAGCCUUAUUUGCAACAGUACUUUAAAACUUUGAAACAUAUAACUGACUAUCAUCAUUUUUACAUGGAUUCACAACACCCAGGAGUAGUAACAUGCAGAGAAAAUGCAUCUUCAGAAUCAUAUACAUUCAAUUUACUGAAAUGCAAAACUAAAACUCCACCAGGAGGUGAGCUUCCUCAACCAUCUAACAUCAAAGGACUUGAACCUGCCAGGCAGUGGUAUUUAUAUGAGCAGAUAAGACAGCACUGCUACUCAGAUUCAGCUAAGAACAUUACAUGUCCGAAACCACUGGUUCUUAAAAAGGAAAUAGACUUAACACAACAAGACCAACACAAUGCCAAAUCCAAUGGAGGAAGAAAAAAGGCUCUGCUGAACUAAAUAAAAUGAUAAAAUAUU